CCCAAACAGGAGGAAUGGCAACCGGCUGCCUGUUGGAGCUGGACAGCAGUAACUCCAACACCGUGGUUCAGUCCAACGCCUGCUCGGAUCUUUGGGGAGAAUUCUCUGCACCCGCCAGUUCUGUUCCACCACAAUCGAGACCACAGGAUGGGGGAAACUGGAUGCAGUUUUGAUUGGUCGGCGGCGGCUGUGACAUCGUGUUUGACUUCCAUCUCAUACUGCUUCCUGUGUCUGUAGCUUCCUGUGCUUCACACCCAGAUUCACUCCUAACCAAUCCCAUCGCAGAGCUGUAGAGACGCCUCAUCACGUCGUGACUUCAUCCCGAGAGAAGGAGCCACUUCCUGUUCUGUUUAAGGGCUAAUGUGUGACUUCCUGUUCUGUGUGUCUGCACUGAGCUUCAGCUCUGAUCUGCUCUCUGUUUGUUAAUGCAGCAGCAGCUCCCUCUGCAGGCGCUGUGGGGUACUACAGCACAGGAACAAAAACCUGAUGUUGUGAAAUGUAAGACGCAUAUCAAAGAAGAACAUCCUUAUAUUUAAUUUAUCCUUGAAUUGGCACUGACACAGACUUACUCUUUCUUUAUUGGCUCACCUGUUUGACCUUAGAGAACACUUUCUGACACAUCGCUCACCUGAUGGUUUGAACAGCCGCACUCUGUGAAUGGUGGAGCAGCGCAGCCUCGUCCAUACGUCUUAAAAAUAUGUUUCUCUGCAAACUGCUACAAAUACAAAUAAGUGCAAAGAUAAUGUGCUUAAAAAUGUGAAUUCAAAACAGCAACAGCCACAGAUGUGCAUGGACUAAACAUAAAUAUAUCCACUCCUGAUGAUGUCUAGAUAACAUCUGGAGGACUGCUGCUGACUGG